rnacentral:rRNA from 1 species
UACGAAGGGGGCUAGCGUUGUUCGGAAUCACUGGGCGUAAAGGGCGCGUAGGCGGCUGUUCAAGUCGGGGGUGAAAUCCCGUGGCUCAACCACGGAAUGGCCUUCGAUACUGGACGGCUCGAGACCGGAAGAGGUGAGUGGAACUGCGAGUGUAGAGGUGAAAUUCAUAGAUAUUCGCAAGAACACCAGUGGCGAAGGCGGCUCACUGGUCCGGUUCUGACGCUGAGGCGCGAAAGCGUGGGGAGCAAACAGG